rnacentral:rRNA from 1 species
CCAAUAGCGUAUAUUAAAGUUGUUGCAGUUAAAAAGCUCGUAGUUGAAUUUCGGGAUCAAUCUAUCGGUCGUGCAAUAGUACGUACUGAUUUUAUUGAUUCCUCCCUUCUGAUGAACUAUGAUGUCAUUAAUUUGGUGUCAUAGGGAAUCAGGACUGUUACUUUGAAAAAAUUAGAGUGUUUAAAGCAGGCUCACGCUUGAAUACAUUAGCAUGGAAUAACGAAAUAGGACGUUUGAUUCUAUUUUGUUGGUUUCUAGGAUCGACGUAAUGAUUAAUAGGGAUAGUUGGGGGCAUUAGUAUUCAAUUGUCAGAGGUGAAAUUCUUGGAUUUAUUGAAGACUAACUACUGCGAAAGCAUUUGCCAAGGAUGUUUUCAUUAAUCAAGAACGAAAGUUAGGGGAUCGAAGACGAUCAGAUACCGUCGUAGUCUUAACCAUAAACUAUGCCGACUAGGGAUCGGAUGAUGUUAAUUUUUUAAUGACUCGUUCGGCGCCUUACG